rnacentral:SRP_RNA from 1 species
GGGAGGUCGGCGGAGGACGUGUCACUCGCCAACCGGGUCAGGUCCGGAAGGAAGCAGCCCUAACGAGAACGAGCGGGUCUCCGUCCGGCCUCUCCUG